rnacentral:rRNA from 1 species
AGAACGAACGCUGGCGGCAUGCCUAAUACAUGCAAGUCGAACGAACACUUCGGUGUUAGUGGCGCACGGGUGCGUAACGCGUGGGAAUCUGCCCUUGGGUUCGGAAUAACAGUUGGAAACGACUGCUAAUACCGGAUGAUAUCGAAAGAUCAAAGAUUUAUCGCCCAGGGAUGAGCCCGCGUAGGAUUAGCUAGUUGGUGAGGUAAAGGCUCACCAAGGCGACGAUCCUUAGCUGGUCUGAGAGGAUGAUCAGCCACACUGGGACUGAGACACGGCCCAGACUCCGUACGGGAGCAGCAGUAGGGAAUAGUUAGGACAAGUGGGCGCAAGCCUGAUACCAAGAAUCGCCGCGUGAGUAGAGUGAAGGCCGUUAAGGGUUAGUAAA